AUGAACGCUGGCGGCGUGCCUAAUACAUGCAAGUCGAGCGAACAGAUGAGGAGCUUGCUCCUCUGACGUUAGCGGCGGACGGGUGAGUAACACGUGGAUAACCUACCUAUAAGACUGGGAUAACUUCGGGAACCGGAGCUAAUACCGGAUAAUAUAUUGAACCGCAUGGUUCAAUAGUGAAAGACGGUUUUGCUGUCACUUAUAGAUGGAUCCGCGCCGCAUUAGCUAGUUGGUAAGGUAACGGCUUACCAAGGCGACGAUGCGUAGCCGACCUGAGAGGGUGAUCGGCCACACUGGAACUGAGACACGGUCCAGACUCCUACGGGAGGCAGCAGUAGGGAAUCUUCCGCAAUGGGCGAAAGCCUGACGGAGCAACGCCGCGUGAGUGAUGAAGGUCUUCGGAUCGUAAAACUCUGUUAUUAGGGAAGAACAAAUGUGUAAGUAACUAUGCACGUCUUGACGGUACCUAAUCAGAAAGCCACGGCUAACUACGUG
rnacentral:rRNA from 1 species